UACGUAGGGCGCAAGCGUUAUCCGGAAUUAUUGGGCGUAAAGAGCUCGUAGGCGGUUUGUCGCGUCUGCCGUGAAAGUCCGGGGCUCAACUCCGGAUCUGCGGUGGGUACGGGCAGACUAGAGUGAUGUAGGGGGAGACUGGAAUUCCUGGUGUAGCGGGUGAAAAUGCGCAGAUAUCAGGAGGAACACCGAUGGGCGAAGGCAGGUCUCUGGGCAUUAACUGACGCUGAGGAGCGAAAGCAUGGGGAGCGAACAGG
rnacentral:rRNA from 1 species